rnacentral:rRNA from 1 species
AAGGAAUUUUUGGCAAUUAUGUUGGCUAUUGACAGAUGGAGAUCUUACCUGGUCAGAGCACCUUUUGUAAUAAAAACAGAUCAUCAAAGCUUGUGUCAUUUCGGUGAUCAAAACCUCGCAUCUAAUCUUUAGAGAAAGGCGAUGACUAAACUUGUGGGUUUGCAAUUCUCUAUACAAUACAGAAAAGGGGUUGAAAAUACUGCUGUUGAUGCCUUGUCCAGAGUAGCCCAUCUGUUUGCUACUCAGAGUGUGACAGUAAGCAAACCUAUGUGGGUGCAGGAAGUACUUAACUCCUAUUCUGUAGAUCCUGUGGCCAUAUCCAUGUUGUAG